AGCAGAUUCUCCGAGCGAAUCCUGACAUUAUAUAGUGAGGGAGAAGACACCAUCAGUGCAUACUGCGAGUUACAAUCACAGUACCAAUCCUGGACCAUCUCCUCGCAGAGUUUGCAUCGAGAUUCAGCGUACUGAAGCAGAAGGCCCUCAAUGGAUUUCAGAUAUUGCCGUCCGUAGCUGCCAAAACUCACUUCUGUAGAGGCAUUUGAAUUCUUCCACGACGACAUCCCAUGCGCCGCCGCAAGUCUUCCUCAAGAGCUCGAGCUUUGGCAGAUGUACUGGUCCCAAAGAACAGAAGACGAACGACCCAUGUCAGCUAUCGAUGCCCUGCGAGCAUGCGAUAAAGCGAGAUUCCCUAAUGUAUGCACAAUACUUCAUAUUAUUAUUAUGACAAUUUUUCCAGUCACCAGCGCUGAGGCAGAACGUUCUUUCAGCGCCAUCAAGAGAUUAAAAACGCGCAUGAGAUCGACGAUGACAGAGGUGAGACUGAAUGGGCUGGCAAUGAUGUUGCUACAUAGAGACCUUGAAGUCGACAUUGACAAAAUUGUCAAGGAUUUCGCCACUUCCCAUCCUCGAAAGAUGAGGCUUUCCUGUGUCAUUGAUGAUCCUAACGAUGUAUAACAAGACUGAAACGCGUAACGUAUAACCAGUGGAUAUUUGAUUGUUUUUAAGUCUAAAUUUCAUGAAUUACUACUAGAUCCAUAAACUAUUUUAUUUAUGUCGACAUUUCAAAAAAUUAAUUUUGGUAAGAUUUCGAUGUUGAUUCUCCCAACAUUUUCUAAGUUCAUUGACCCAGGCGGCCAGGCCUGCAUUGACCCUAAAUUACCUUUGACCUUGGUCAUGUUACCUUAAACAAACGUAGUCAGGAUAUUACGAUAUACUUUAUUACCCUUGUUUCCAAGUUUCAUGAACUAUGACAUUUCAAAAACUUAACUUUGGUUAAGAUUUCAGUGUUGACGCCGUCCCCAUCGUCUCUCUGCUAUAUGUACCCACUGGGCAUUUUACCCGAUAUUACCCGGGUUGUAACAGGUAAUAACGUAGUUAUUACCACGGUAACACCAGUGGGUAGUAACGGGGAAAUAGUAGACCAAUCUUUCCCCGUUAUUACCCGGACCCGAUAUUACUCCAUUUACCCAAUAUUACCCAGUAUGAUGUAACCGAUAUUUCCAGCAUUUUAAUGAUAUCACCACCUCAUAUUACUCUGUUUACCCAAUAUUACCCAAUUAAUGUCGGCUCAUUAAAAAAACAAUUAGUGUCAUUAGGGUCAUUGAAGCACAUUUUUACAACUCCAUACUCUAAGCCAUAUCAUCUUAUCCUAUCCUAAAAUCCUACAUCCUAAUCCUAAUCCUAUCCUACACCUAUCCACCAAACCCUGUCAUUUACUUCUAUAUAUUGAGCGAGUUUACAACACUUGACAAAUUAUGGUUAACAAUUAUUCAACCCUAAAACAUUUUUCUAAAAUUAAUGUCAUGAUUAUGACUUAUAUGAUAUAUAAACUACACAUUUUUCUGAAAAUUUUCUGUGUGGAAUAAUUGCAUAAACAUAAACACAUUAAUUAUUACAGCUAUAUUAGCUAAAAUUUUGGCCAUUUAUUGUAGUAAUGAAUAUUCAUGAGUAACUAAUAUUCCCAGCAUUUUCCUGAUAUUACCAUCUGAUAUUACUCCAUUUACCCAAUAUUAAUGGGUUCCGCAUGGGUUGGAGGUCUCGUUUCCAUCUGAGUCCUAUAUGGGCACCAUGUGGGUUCAAGUAUAUGUUUUCAUCUGGGUUCCAUGUGGGCCCAUAUGGGACCCAGAUAUCCCAGAUAAGAACCGUAUGUGAUCCAGAUACUUUGCUGUCUGGGAAUGGAAGCGCUUCAACAUUACCCAUUACCCCUUAUCAACCUGUUUGUAACUGGGUAAAAUGUUGGUUUCAUCAGGGUGAUAACAGUAAUUUUUUGGACUUUGACAAUUUCGCUGGGAUUGCUGUAAGAUUACUGUUAUUACUAAAGUUUGCAAUGUUAUAACCAAUCAAAGUCAUUCAACAUUACCCUUAUUACCCAUCGUCACCCUGUUGUAACUCGGUAAAUGUCGGUUUCAUCAGGGUGAUAACAGUAACAGGUAUCAACAGGAAUUAUAAUUUCGGUAAUAGCAUGGUAAUAACGGUAAUAUUUGGUGUUACUCAAAUUUCCGGUUGAUAUUACCGGUCAUAACCGGUAAAAUUGGUAAUCGGUAACAAAUUGCCCAGUGGGUAGGCGAGACAAAAAUUAUGUUCUGUCCUAGCGACUUUUGUAACAUGUUUCAGUAGGGGGCACGUAGGCAAUUCGUCAAUAUUUUAAUGAGUAAUUCGCGAGCUUCACGAGCUGAGCACUCCAUAACUUUAUUCCUAACAAAAGUCGCUCUUGUUUAUUAAAGGCUAUAAGAAACAAAAUAUGAAUAAGAGUUGUGAAUUCUUCUUGCAUGAAGGGAAGCACUCUGCACUUUGACAAAUGUAUGAGAGGCGUCUGAUUUUAACUGUUGUUUUUAUAUUGCUUGCAACACUUAAACCACUAAUCUCAAACGGAUUGGAAAAUAUAAUGUUAACAAGUGGAAUAUAAUAUUAUAUAUAGGUCCUAUGUUUCAAUUGGACGGCGAAUGUAGUACACGGCCAACAAUAAUACUUUCGCCGUAUAGUGUGAGUAUUAUUCUUUAAUCUGAGCAGAUUGAAUAACCGAUUUUCUUUGACAUUUCUGUUAAUUUCAAAUUACAUCUUAUACUGACACUGUUUACAUUUUGUACUGAUACUCUUGAUAUUUAUCAGAACAAAUGAGGAUUUCUAUUUUUAGGUGAAUGUUCUCUUGUUAUUUCUCUAUUGGAAAGCCGUUUGGGUACAAAUCGGUCUAAUAUGGUGUGAGGAUGGAUGUUUGUGGCUGAGUAUUAAGUUAAUUUGAGAUAAUUUAGCUUGUUAAUGUCAAUGUGUUUAAAUUGUCUUGAACUUAUAGUCAGCCUUUAUUGUGUGUAACUGGUGUUAUUUUAUGACAACAAAUAAAAACAAAAAAAAAUCGGUCUAGUAUAGUCACUAGUUACUAGUAAACGUUUUGCAUGUUCUAGGUGGGUAGACAUUCAUACCACAACGCAUAUCAUAUUCUGAAAUAGGAUGUGCAGUAUACCACCAUGUGAACUUAAUUGUGUAUGGAUAUAUUAAUAUAUAUCAUUUACAGAAAUGUUGAAGUUUACUUGCAAUAUGUAAAGGAAUAAAUGAAACUUUCAUUGUUAUGGUGAAAGUUUCGGAUGCAUUUUUUUUAUUUUUUGACGAAUCGUCAAAUACUCAAAUAACUGAAAUAACUCUAUGGUUUAUAUCGUUCCUAUAUUUUGUUUCAUGUAGUAAUUCGUAAAAGACAGCUAGAUACAGUUGAUGAUACACCUUUUCGUUUCCAACCUACAGUGGGAAAUCACGUUGUAAUUGUUUUAAACGAAUUCCACUGAAACUAUAACGUGGAUUUACUCAGGCCUAAACUGCAUUGCUAUCAUUUAUAUUUAUUAUUACAUCUUGAAAUAGUUGAUGUAUACAAGAUACAUGGGACCUUGGAAUUCAUGUUUCAGUAUUGUAUGAAAGAGAGAGAUAAGAACUUAUAUAUCGUCCAAAAUGAUGCGAACUUAAGAGCAUUGUUUUCAUAUUUAUAUAGACAUUGCCAAUAAAGAAUAUUUUUACAGCAU